rnacentral:lncRNA from 1 species
CAAUCAUUAUGUUCCUGGGUCUUUGGCUGGCUCGAUCCUGCUGCUUCCUUUUUGGAUGGAGUGGAUAUCGAGGUUCCAUAAAGAUGCAGACCGGAGAAAGUGAACAGGAUGAACAACUGAGCUGACUGGAGCCGUAGAGAACUAACAGAACUCCCUGUCCUGCCCUUCCGUGAGUGACGGGGCGAGUCCGCAGCGGUUGUCUCUGUGACAGUUGCUCCUGGUCAAGGUCUGGGGCUAGGUGUUCCUCACCUCUUUUCCGAUGAAUUAAAAGGAAACAAUCCCACGGAUUUGCAAAAUAAGCAAGAUAAUUUGAGUCAAGCGAUAGUGCAAAUUAAAGAUGGACUUGCUGUCAAUAUUGAUGGAUGCACAUGAGGGAAAUUGCUAAGGGAUCGUGGUUGUUGCUGGAGCCUUCUUUUAUGGGGACUGUGGAUGAGAACUCCUGGAAAGAAGUUGUGACUGCAGAGACUGAUCGGCUGAUUAGAACCGUAGUACUUUAGAGAGAUUGGAAUGUUGCAGGUCUAGAAAUUAAUUUAAUUAUCUUAUUUUGGGCUGGUUCUAGCACCUCCCCAACCCGGACAACCAGUCCUUGCCACCUCUGUUGGAACUAACCCUUUGAAUCUUAGGCCUAUAGACCUAUUAGAAAAGCUUCCCCAACUUGCUGUAUCUACUCCUCUGAUAUACCCACCGAUGUACUUUAACCUUGAUUUAUAAUUUACCUUGUUCUGUAAAACUAUAAAAAUUUAAUGAAACUACUUCCAUGUUUGAAUGUGGGAACUUGGGUUAAUCAAGAUCUGUGUAUCUGAGCCACAGUCUCUCAAAAUGGCUCCAGAAUAAAAUAUCUCUCAUUCCAUUU